CAGGUUGACAUUAAAGUAUCUCCAGGAUCUCAUGCAGAUGAAGAAUCAGUUACGAAUUGCUUUUCUAUCCAAGAUAUCAUCUUGAUCAGAGCUCGCUACUUUGUCAAAAACCAUUGCUGGCUAAACCAAUGGUGAUGGAUGUCUAUCAAGAAUAUAUACUUGUCACAUAUCGCCCAUUUGAUGUACACAUAUUCCAUGUCAAGUUAUUUGGUGAAUUCACUACUCCAAAUUUACAGUACGAGAACUCUCAAUUGUGACUGCAAAGAGCCAUGUUGCAGCAAUGAGUUUUGU